CUGUGGAAUGAGCGGCGGACGGGUGAGUAACACGUGGGCAACCUGCCUGUAAGAUCGGAAUAACUCCGGGAAACCGGGGCUAAUGCCGGGUAAUCCUUUUUCUCGCAUGAGAGAGAGGUAAAAGAUGGCCUUUGGCUAUCACUUACAGAUGGGCCCGCGGCGCAUUAGCUAGUUGGUGAGGUAAUAGCUCACCAAGGCGACGAUGCGUAGCCGACCUGAGAGGGUGRUCGGCCACACUGGGACUGAGACACGGGCCCAGAYUCCUACGGGAGGCAGCAGUAGGGAAUCUUCCGCAAUGGACGAAAGUCUGACGGAGCAACGCCGCGUGAACGAUGAAGGUCUUCGGAUCGUAAAGUUCUGUUGUUAGGGAAGAACAAGUACCGUGCGAAUAGAGCGGUACCUUGACGGUACCUAACGAGGAAGCCCCGGCUAACUACGUGCCAGCAGCCGCGGUAAUACGUAGGGGGCAAGCGUUGUCCGGAAUUAUUGGGCGUAAAGCGCGCGCAGGCGGUUUCUUAAGUCUGAUGUGAAAGCCCACGGCUCAACCGUGGAGGGUCAUUGGAAACUGGGGAACUUGAGGACAGAAGAGGAGAGUGGAAUUCCACGUGUAGCGGUGAAAUGCGUAGAUAUGUGGAGGAACACCAGUGGCGAAGGCGACUCUCUGGUCUGUUUCUGACGCUGAGGUGCGAAAGCGUGGGUAGCAAACAGGAUUAGAUACCCUGGUAGUCCACGCCGUAAACGAUGAGUGCUAGGUGUUAGGGGGCUUCCACCCCUUAGUGCUGAAGUUAACGCAUUAAGCACUCCGCCUGGGGAGUACGGCCGCAAGGCUGAAACUCAAAGGAAUUGACGGGGGCCCGCACAAGCGGUGGAGCAUGUGGUUUAAUUCGAAGCAACGCGAAGAACCUUACCAGGUCUUGACAUCCUUGGACCGCCCUAGAGAUAGGGUCUUCCCUUCGGGGACCAAGUGACAGGUGGUGCAUGGUUGUCGUCAGCUCGUGUCGUGAGAUGUUGGGUUAAGUCCCGCAACGAGCGCAACCCCUAAUCUUAGUUGCCAGCAUUCAGUUGGGCACUCUAAGGUGACUGCCGGUGACAAACCGGAGGAAGGCGGGGAUGACGUCAAAUCAUCAUGCCCCUUAUGACCUGGGCUACACACGUGCUACAAUGGAUGGUAC
rnacentral:rRNA from 1 species